rnacentral:rRNA from 1 species
CCUACGGGGAGCAGCAGUGAGGAAUAUUGGUCAAUGGACGAGAGUCUGAACCAGCCAAGUAGCGUGAAGGAUGACUGCCCUAUGGGUUGUAAACUUCUUUUAUAAAGGAAUAAAACGAGGCACGUGUGCCUUUUUGCAUGUACUUUAUGAAUAAGGAUCGGCUAACUCCGUGCCAGCAGCCGCGGUAAUACGGAGGAUCCGAGCGUUAUCCGGAUUUAUUGGGUUUAAAGGGAGCGUAGAUGGGUUGUUAAGUCAGUUGUGAAAGUUUGCGGCUCAACCGUAAAAUUGCAAUUGAUACUGGCAGUCGUGAGUACAGUUGAGGUAGGCGGAAUUCGUGGUGUAGCGGUGAAAUGCUUAGAUAUCACGAAGAACCCCGAUUGCGAAGGCAGCUUACUAAACUGUGACUGACAUUGAUGCUCGAAAGUGUGGGUAUCAAACAGGAUUAGAUACCCUGGUAGUC